AACAAUGUGGGCAUAUUAUAUAUAUAUUUUUAGAAUGAACUUAAAAAAUAAUAAACUCUAACUCCACUUUUGGCACUAAUUUCUUGAUUGCUAACAUGAUGCAUUUCUGCAAGAAGAGCUCAUUUCACAAUCUUUGAGGACAUUAUGUGUCUAAGACAAACCUGCAGGUGCUGUUGAGAACAGCAGAGCCAGCUGGAGGCUCUGGGAGGAAUUCCAUCUGGAAGAAAACAUGGUGUGUCCAGAGGGCAGAGUGGUGUGGUGGAGUCGGUGCUGGAGAUGAUGUGUGUACAAGAGCAGGACUCUGGACGGAGGCAGGGAUCUGGGCCAGCACAACAUGGAGAGGCUGAAGCUUCCUGGAGUGACCAGCAGGCAGGAGUAAGGGCCAGGUCCCUGAAAUCUAUGGAAGGAGAUUUUACUGGUGUGUCCACCUCCUCCUGGCCAGGCCACAGCUUUCUCAGCAGGAAAACACCUGAUACUUCCAGGUAUUUGGGAGCCGGCUGCAGGACAAACAGCAAAACUGCAGACCCUCACCGCCCCCACCCCGCCGGCCUCCUGGGGACUUACUGCGGGGGAGUAACAUGCGGUUGGUUGCAUGUCCAGCUGAGAGCACCUAGAGGCGACGAUGGCCCUGCUGGCGCUAAAUGUUUGCUCUUCCUGGCUUGGGAGGUACAGAUGCUGCUGCCCGAGCCUUUACCACAGCUUGAUUGUGCCAAUCCGGUGCCGUUUGGUUGGUGAUUGUGGAGCCCGUGUCCUCGAGCUGCCCCCACGUGUGGCCUUUUCAACUGCGCUUGCUCUGGACGGCGUUUCUGCUCAGGUUUUGCCAGAAUGGCCACCUCCCAUGUAUCUUUAAGACUUCUUUCGGGUGGCUGUUCCUUCCUGGAGGCUCCGUCCUGCUGCUGAUCCUGUCUGUCUGUCCAGGACUGUCCAGUGUCUGAUGACACUUCCGCCCGGCACCCCGAGCUCCUGCGCCGUGUCCCAGCGCUGCUGUAACAAAGUGCUCUAAGACAUCAGAAACAGCCUUCACAGCUCAGCAGGCCACACGUCCCAAAUCAAGGCCAUGGCAGGGCCGGGCUCCCUCUGAGGGCCCUCGGGGGGAGCCUCCCUGCCUCUUCCACGUCCUGGGGGCUCCCGGCAUCUGCGGGGCCGUGGCUGCGUCCCUCCAGCCUCCGUGGCAGCUUCAUAUGUCUGGGCCCUCUGUGCUGUGUUUAGACUCCCUCUGCUUCUCCGUCUCUUCCCUGGAUUUGGGGCCCUAGUACAGGAUGACCUUAGGGAGUCAAAGUAAGUUACUUACAUCAGCGAAGAUCCUUAUUCCAAAUAAGGCCACAUUCUGAGGCUCCAGGCGGUCAUAUCUUUUGGGGACACAACGCAGCCCCCUGCAGAUCCUCCGUGUCCACCAAUAGGCAGGAGCCCCGGAAAUCAGGGAGCCGGGGGUUUGAACAGCUGUGAAUGCUCUACAGGAGGAGGGCAACGAGGCCACUGGUGCCUGCUGCAUUUUUUUUUUUUUAAUUUUUAUUUAUUUAUGAUAGUCACAGAGAGAGAAAGAGAGAGAGAGAGAGAGGCAGAGACAUAGGCAGAGGGAGAAGCAGGCUCCAUGCACCGGGAGCCUGAUGUGGGAUUCGAUCCCGGGUCUCCAGGAUCGCGCCCUGGGCCAAAGGCAGGCGCCAAACCACUGCGCCACCCAGGGAUCCCUGCCUGCUGCAUUUUUAUCUUAAAUGCUUUCUCCGCAGAAGAGGCACAGGAUCCCUUGGAUCCCAGUGAAUAUUCCUGAGAAGUCCUCGGGCAGAGCCUGGGUUAAGUCCCGGGCCCUGGUGGAUCAGCUAUGGCUGGGGGGCCGGUGCCCCUUCCCUCACUACCUAUGUGGAUGGGAGGGAUGGGGGACAGGGGUGUCACUGGUUGGGGUGAUGACUAGGGGCCCCUGGAGGUGGCUGGUGGCGUGAGGGGUUUGGGCAGAGCCCCUCUUCUGGGCCCAGGGAAGCCUUGCUGGCUCUCCAAGGCCAGGUUUGACAGGGAUCAGAAAGGACCAGCUGCUCCCAGGGGAGAAAGUCGGAGGUGGGGCGGCCACCUGAACAACAGCCUCUAGAAAGCACUUAAGAGACCCUGGUGCUGGGACACCCGGGUGGCCUUUGGCCCAGGGCAUGACCCCGGGGUCGAGUCCCACACUGGGCUCCCUGCCUGGAGUCUGCUUCUCUGCCCCUCUCUCUGUGUCUCUCAUGAAUAAAUAAAUAAAAUCUUUAUUUAAAAAGUUUUUAAAAAAGAGACCCUGGUGCUUUCUAGAACACCUUUGGUGAUGCGGUGGGGGCUGCAGAGAAGCAGCAGGACCACGGCUGCCUGUAACUGGACGGGGCCUGUUGAGCUGGCUUAGCCCUCUGAGCGCCGUGCAGUGGCAGGGUGGUUCCACCCAGGGGCUCGAGGCACGCGGUGGGGCACCGGGUCCCAGCUGCAGAUCGAUGGCCAUGACUGUGCCUUCACCUCCAAAGAAUUCUUCCCUGUGGCCUCACGCCUUCGCCCGUCUUACACUCCACUCACUAGCUUGUCCCCUGAACAGAUUUCCCCUUGUCACCCCAGCCUGUGGCUGCAACAUUUUGCAGCCAUCCAGGAGGGGCCAGCCUCCCGGGGGAGCACGCCCCAGCCCUAGCUUGCUCUUUUCCUAUCCGGCUCCUCGCAGACCUCUGCAGACCACCAGGCUGACCAGGCCGAGACGACACCAUCCUUCUUGAGACAGCUGUGGCUGAUGACAUCCCGCUGGAUGGCACUGUCCCCAAAUUUAGAGUGCCCAUCCCUGUUUACAUCGAAAUCCAUGGCUACGCUUCAUAAAUCUGGAGUUUGGUAGUGACGGAGUGGAGAGAGUUGGUUCUAAUUUAUGUUUUUUGCAGCUCAGGUCGUGAUAGAUCUCCGUUCUGUUCUAUCCACAAGUUGAGAAAUGGAAGACUCCAAUAUUUUUCUUAUUACAGAUGAGCUAUAUGCUCAGUGAGGCUCUUUGGAAAACACAGAAAAGUGUAAAUAAGAAAAUUAAAAUCACUUGUAAAAUCACAAUCACUGUUGACAUUUUGAUGCAUUCCUGCACAUUUUUAUGCUCCGUGUGGCGGUUUAGAGCAGUCUGUGUUGCCCUGGGAUGUGCGUAGGAAUUGCCUGGAGAUCCCGUGAUAAUUCAGAUUCUGAUUCAGAUUUAGGGUGAGGCUGGACCCCACCUGUCUGAGAUGCGGGCCGAGCUGAUGCUGCUGGUCCGAGGACCCACAGCCCUGCAGACUGCCUGGGGGUUAGAGCUAGGGGGUGGGGGGCGGUGCACAUGCUGCCUUCCCCAGGUGACAGCGCUAGGGAGCGGGUCAGCUGACCACCCUGAGCCUCAGUGUUCUCAUCUGUAAAAGGGGGAUCGCACUACCACGUAGAGAUUGUGUAAAGAAUAAAUGAGAUGGAGUAUGCCGAGGUUCAGCUGUUGCCUGGCAGAGAGCAAGUGCUCAAUACAUCAUAAAUAAAUUAAAAAUAAACGAAUUAUCUCCUAGAACAGUGUAGUUUGUACAUGUGGCUUAAUAUCCUGCUUGCUUU
rnacentral:lncRNA from 1 species